UGCCAGCAGCCGCGGUAAUACGGAGGGGGCAAGCGUUGUUCGGAAUGACUGGGCGUAAAGGGCGCGUAGGCGGAUUGGCAAGUUGGGGGUGAAAGGCCUGGGCUCAACCUGGGAAUUGCCUCCAAAACUGUCUGUCUUGAGUUCGGAAGAGGAUGGCGGAAUUCCCAGUGUAGAGGUGAAAUUCGUAGAUAUUGGGAAGAACACCGGUGGCGAAGGCGGCCAUCUGGACAGAUAUUGACGCUGAGGCGCGAAGGCGUGGGUAGCGAACAGGAUUAGAUA
rnacentral:rRNA from 1 species